CAGACUCAGUCUCAAAAACAAAUAAACAAACACCAAAAAACCCGUAUAACUUUAAUGGUGGAGACAAAAACAGAUUAUGCUGUAAUCUUUACAUAAUAGUGAUUCAAUUUUUUUGACCUUGCUAAUAACUGCUUUAAGGAAAAACUACACUUAAUUAAAUUAACAAUUCUGAAAUGGAAACUCAAUUUGCAAACUAAGUAUUUCUCCUAACCUGAACAUGUAUAAACCAAUAUGCAUAUAUACAAAAUCACACAUGAACCCAAACACACAGUAAUGUAUAGAAAAAUACAGAAUGUCAGAGCUGAAAGAGAUCUUUUGUCUAUAAUCUUCACUUUAGUGAUGAGGAGUAGAAGGAUAAGGUGAUUUGCCAAGCUCCAGUAGCAAGCUUAUGAUAGACACUAAACCCCAAGUUUCUGCAUAUUUGCAGUGAUGUCAUAGGCACUCUGUGUGAUGCUGGUGAAUAUUUCAGGUGUGAAAUAGUAAGCAUAAAAUUAGCAUUACCUGGGAAUCUGUUUAAAAUCAUUGACAGGCCUGAGAGUUUUCCAUACGGCCUGCACCCUAACCUCUGGGAAGAAAAUAUCCACAAUGAAAUUUCUACAAGAUUAGAGGAAGGAGAGAGGCAACGGGGAUUCCAUUUCUACUAGGAGUAUCAACCUCUGAGAGAAAAAUAUCCAUCUCUGUGGAUGUCAUCUGCUCUGCAGAAAACCCUUUCCUGGAACUCCCAGAUCAUUGACAGGCCUGAGAGUUUUCCAUACGGCCUGCACCCUAACCUCUGGGAAGAAAAUAUCCACAAUGAAAUUUCUACAAGAUUAGAGGAAGGAGAGAGGCAACGGGGAUUCCAUUUCUACUAGGAGUAUCAACCUCUGAGAGGGAUAUAUCCAUCUCUGUGGAUGUCAUCUGCUCUGCAGAAAACCCUUUCUUGGAACUACCAGGAAACAUGAAUCUGAUGUGGACCCUCCUCCUUUUCCUCCUUUUGGACGUAACUGUCUUCAUUCCAGCCCUGCCCUUCUCAACACGACAUUUAGACAACCCCAGGUCGUGGGUCCCUAGAGGACACCACCGAUACUGUGAUGUGAUGAUGAGGUGCCGUUGGCUGAUCUAUAGGGGUAAAUGCGAGCAGAUCCACACAUUCAUUCAUAGAAUCUGACCACCAUAGCAGAUUUCUGCAGAACUCCACCACUGCCCUGUACCAACAGCCCCUCCAUGUGCAGCUGCCACAACAGUACUCAUGAUGUCAAUGUCACUGACUGCUUUGCCAGCACAGGGACCCGACCUCUUCACUGCCACUACCAAAAAUAAGAAGGAGUCCACCAGGCCCAUGCGAGUGGGCUGCAAGAAGGGGGCAUCUGUUCACCUGGAUGGCUAGGUUCCUCCUGACAACGGCACCUGAAUGACUUGCACCCUACGCCUUCAAAUCUGUGCAGCACUGUCAAGGUCUUCUUUGUAAAUGCUUCGUCCUUUGCACGCAGGCUCCUGCGUCUUUCUUACAGCCUGUUCCCCACCAACCCCAUGUGCCCUACCCCUGCCACAGUGUCAGGGCUUUUGGUGGAGGAUAAGGCUGCAGUGGAGGGUUGGUGGGAGGGAGCCUGAAUUACGGAAAUAAUACUCGGGAAAAGACUUGCUCCAACCAAGCUGCUAGACAAUCCCCUUCUCCUGGGGCUGAUCUUCCCACCAGCUGCUCUCAUAAAACCUCCUGAUGGCUGGCCCUAGGUUUCCUGGAUCAUAGGGUCCUUCUGCCUUCUGCGGGACAUUCUAUGCCUUUCUCCUCAAUGGGCUCCUUCGGAGGGUAUUAGGGACGAUACCCUGGCGGGAAACCGCUUCCUUUAGGGAAACAAAUCACUGUGGCUCCAGGGGUGUCACCGGAAAAAGCCGUUUCCGGAGAAGCCGGAGGAGCUUGGGCAACUCCGCAGGCCCAGAGCCUUCGUGGUCUCCCAGUUCCCGUGGCCGUCGUAUUGGUCGGCAGGGGGCGCCGCGCCACAAGCUUCCUGCACAAGAGUCCAAAACUUCUUUCUUGGUUUCCUUUGAGACAGGCUGCAGGUUUCUUGGUUGCUGACACGGGUAGACGAUAAUAGGUGAAUAAACAAAAUCCAGCCAGCAUAAAUACAGUCUAACUGUUGAAGAACAGAUUUCUGAGUCUACCAUAACUUUCAUACACUGCAGCACUUUAACGUUGAACCUGCCACCUUCAGAUUCACACUGCAGCACCUCAGAUUUGAUAAAUGGUUGGUCCUUAUGAUCCACUGAUGCAGACUACUUGGGAGGUCCCAAUGUCCUGGUGCCCAAAGGCAAGAUCAUUUUUCCCCCUGCAGUGUUUCUGUCUAUCAUGAUGAUGUGAGUGGGCUCUUAUUGGGGGUGCCUAAUGCUGCCAUAAAGAAAGAGUUUUCUUGGCUUGGUGCAGUGGCUCACGCCUGUAAUCCCAACACUUUGGGAGG
rnacentral:lncRNA from 1 species